rnacentral:lncRNA from 1 species
GCUCCAUUCUUCCUAUUUCUUUUCUUCUUGGUCGAAAAACCCUUUUCAUUGUACCUACCCUCAAGUUUCAAUUCCUUCACCAUCUAUGAGAGGACUUGGAUGCAUGGUGAUCAUCUCUUCUCUGAUAAGAUGCCAAUAUUUGGAUUGAGUCAAUGUUACUCAGAAAGUUAAGGUAAGAAACUCACUUUCCAUGAACACAUAGUUUUUCCUCUUUUAAAUCCAAUCACUAAAUCUUAACCCCAUACUUGAAAUUUGUCCUUGGAUGCACGUUUACUCUUUAAAACACGAAUCUUGAGAUGUCUGGAAGGUCAUGGGUGUUGGAGAAAUUAAGUGAAACUAGAGAAUGAAGAAUUUUGGUAUCAAACCCGUAUUCAAGGACAGACCUGCACUAAAAAGGUAACUGUUCUCUCCCUGUAGCUCCGAAUGAGAUACCGUUUAUUUCUAUGGAUAGCUAACUCAAAUACGGUCGUUGUGGUACCGGUUUUAUAAGGACGAGCGAUGAGGUCGAUAGACAUUUUUGAAGUUGGAAGCCAGUAGCAGGAAUUGUGCAGAAAAUCUGGAAUUUUGGUGUUUUAUGUGCUACGGGUUUGCAUCUUGAGCGGCUCAAGCGGAUGAUUAUAUGCGAAACAGUUCGGAAUUGCUAUCAAAUCAGGUGGGUUCCUUUAGGUAAACUCUCACUUAAUAGAGUAGCCUUAUUAGUUUUCCCCAAAAUCCAACUAUGCAUGUUAACUUAAGUUUUAGGGAUUAAUNNNNNNNNNNNNNNNNNNNNNNNNNNNNNNUGAUUUUAAGUUAUGCAGGAAAUCGAGCUUGAGCCGGCUUAAACAGAGCUUGAACCGAUGCGACGUUUCCUUAAAAACUCUAAAAUGCCCAUUAUGGGUGUUAUGAGCUGGUGCAUGCGCAUCAUGGAUCAGUGCAUAACUCUCAGGAGAUGUUUUAUAAAAACUGGAAACGAUUGAAUCGGUGCAUUCACUUGUUGAAUUGACUCAACCAAGGUUUGGGCAGGUUUUAAUCGGUACAAGGGAUGCUUGAGCCGAUUCAUAUAACUCACAUUAUUUUCUUAAAAACUGAAUUAUAUGCAUCGGUGCAUAAAACACUUGAAUUGGUGCAACCUGAGAUAAUUAUUUUUGUAACAAAAACCAUUUGGUUUAUGGAUGGAGGUUAUAAUAACUAUUUUAUUUCAAUUAAAAACCCUCUGCCAUGAACAUUAUUUUAUAAAAAUAAUAAGUGACUAAAUUCCACGAUUACGGAUCUUCGUACAUGUAUUAAAAUCAGUAGACAUAGGAAUUGAAUCAGGAUAUUCAGGAUAGUUAGAUAUAUCCCGGGAAGGUUUUCUUUCUUUUGGGUAGGAUAACCAUUCAAGAUUAGGAAUUAUGUUUCAGAAUUUAUCAGGAUGGUUGGUCAUUAGUACCAAUAUCAGGAAGCGUGGUCAUUNNNNUCAUGUUGUAUUCCGACGUACAUUAUUAUCGGUAAUACCAGGCCAGGCACUCCGGGACCGGCUUACCCCGGGGUGAUCCUGUUAUGAUAAAAUUGACAAGAUAAUUAUUAUGUGUGUUACACCUUUAUUUCUUUAUUAUCAUAUUAUGAAAACUUCAGGAUUAUGUCAAGAUUAGACUUUUAGAUAUUCAGGUUCAGGUUAAAGUUAGAAACUAUUAGUUUCAGUUGCCCCGGUGUAGUCACCAGUAGUUGGGUAGUAGGAGCUCACUGAGGCUUAGUAGUCUCAUCCCACGACUUUCAAUUUUUUUAGGUAAACAGGUUAACCGGAGCAAGGACCAGGCAGGAACUGAUGAUCGAAGCUAAGCUUGGAUUAUUGGAUUAGAAGACCUUCGUCUUCUUCUUUGUUUUUGUUAAUCUGUUAUUAAGAUUUCAGUCAUCAUUUCAGCUGCGUUGUAUUGAUUAUCACGUUAUUCUCGUGAUAAUUUGUAAUUCAAUUAAUUAUUCUGUAAAUUUUAAUGUACUCAGAUUCAAUUAUUAAUAUCUCGACUAAAUAUUCUAGACAAUUUAGUUGGGAUGUUACAAUUGGUAUCAGAGCAGGUCGAUCUAGUAUCGGACCUUGCCAUGAGUCAUUAGAAUUCAUUCCUAAGUAGUACGGACCCUUUGGAGUCUUGACUGUUUACGCUGAAAUCAUCGCGUGCUGAGCCCGUACAACUCAGUAUUGUGCAUGAUAGGCAGGGUAUUAUGGUUGAGAACUGAAGUGGACCAAGUACGUCGAGUAGUAAGA